CGGUGGCGAGGGAUGUGGCUGGUGGCACUCAGUGAGCUGCUUGUCUCUGAUAAGAGGUUAUCAAGAUGAAAGGGGGAGGCCGGGAAUUACGGGCCUAACACUGUCACCCAGCAGACUCAGAGGAACACUGUCACCCAGCAGACACAGAGGAACACUGUCACCCAGCAGACACAGAGGAAUAUACACUUUCUGUGCCAGAAAGAAAUCUCCUGGGGAAUCUACACAGUUAUAACGAACAGCCUCAAUUAAUCCUGGCAUGGAAUCUACAAAGUUUCGAAAGCAUUCCACAGGGAUCCUGGCCCAUGGUGACUCCAAUGCUUCCCACAGUUGUGUCAAGUUGGCUGGAUGUCCUUUGGGUGCUGGACCAUUCUUGAUACACACUGGAAACUGUUGAGCUUGAAAAACCCAGCAGCGUUGCAGUUCUUGACACACUCAAACCAGUGCAUCUGGCACCUACUAACAUACCCCGUUCAAAGGCACUUAAAUCUUUUGUCUUGCCCAUUCACCCUCUGAAUGGCACACAUACACAAUCCAUGUGGGGGGCUAGGGUCAGUUUGUUAUAUCUGGAGUACUUCUCCUGUCCUAUUCGGUGUCCUGUGUGAAUCUAAGUGUGCGUUCUCUAAUUCUCUCAUUCUCUCUUUCUUUCUCACUCUCGGAGGACCUGAGCCCUAGGACCAUGCCCCAGGACUACCUGACAUGAUGACUCCUUGCUGUCCCCAGUCCACCUGGCCAUGCUGCUGCUCCAGUUUCAACUGACCUGAGCCCUAGGACCAUGCCCCAGGACUACCUGACAUGAUGACUCCUUGCUGUCCCCAGUCCACCUGGCCAUGCUGCUGCUCCAGACCUGAGCCCUAGGACCGUGCCCCAGGAAUACCUGACAUGAUGACUCCUUGCUGUCCCCAGUCCACCUGACUGUGCUGCUGCUCCAGUUUCAACUGUUCUGCCUUAUUAUUAUUCGACCAUGCUGGUCAUUUAUGAACAUUUGAACAUCUUGGCCAUGUUCUGUUAUAAUCUCCACCUGGCACAGCCAGAAUAGGACUGGCCACCCCACAUAGCCUGGUUCCUCUCUAGGUUUCUUCCUAGGUUUUGGCCUUUCUAGGGAGUUUUUCCUAGCCACCGUGCUUCUACACCUGCAUUACUUGCUGUUUGGGGUUUUAGGCUGGGUUUCUGUACAGCACUUUGAGAUAUCAGCUGAUGUACGAAGGGCUAUAUAAAUACAUUUGAUUUGAUUUGAUGUACGAAUUGUCUCAAGGCUUAAAAGUCCUUCUUUAACCUGUCUCCUCCCCUUCAUCUACACUAAUUGAAAUGGUGACAUCAAUAAGGGAUCAUAGCGUUCACCUAGAUUCACCUGGUCAGUCUAUGUCAUGGAAAGAGCAGAUAUUUCUAACUCAUGACGUAAUUGGACAAACCUAAACCUCAUUUGAAAAUAAUACUCAUCGGCAAUUCUGGGUAAGCCGGAAAAAUGAUAUUAGGUAAUACUGGCCAAUGUUAUUACUUUUCAUUAUUUAUAGGUAUUUCCAAGAUGGCGUAGCAGUCGGGCGUCUGUUUUGUUUGUCUUGUCCCGUCCCCUCCCGUGUAUAUAUAAUUUUCUUUGUAUAUAUUUCGUAAAUAUCUUUUAGAUUUUUAAUCUCAAUUUCCAUCUAUGGACUGACCAUACUCUCCUGCAACCCGCCUCACCCAAUAUGGUACGGAUCUGCUAUUUUUUUAUACUUUAGAACUGGAACCCCCAUCAGAAGCUAGCCAACUAACUAGCUACUAGCUAGUAGUCAGUUAGCCACUGCUAGCGGUCAUCACUGUUAUCAGCCAGCCGCAGCCCGGUCAAUUCCUGCCAGUCUGCAUAACGCGAAAUCAACCCAGAGCAUAUUGGACUCCUUUUUCUCCACCAAAUCUCCGGAUUACUACCGCAAGCUGGAUCAUCGCAGCUAGCUUGCUGCUAUCCGAGUGGCUAUUCCUGGCUAAAGUCUCUGUCCCGAAGCAAGCAUCAGUUAGCUGGAGCUAGCCUCGAGCUAGACCCAUCUCCCGGCUAGCCGAAGAGAUCCAUCAGACAAUUCCUGGGUUUCAAUACCUCUUUUGCCAAUUGGCCUGGACCAUUAGCUGCCAACACGGAGCCCCGCAGAUCCAUCACGACUGGUCUGCCGACGUAAUCCGUCCAAGGAGGUUACAACAAGCUCUUCCGUUGCGACGUCCCCCUGAGGCCCAACUGCUAGCCUGCUAUCCCGGCCUGAUAGCUGUCUAAAUUGCCGUGUCUCCAGCUCGCCUAGCUACUCACUGGACCCAAUGAUCACUCGGCUACAAAUGCCUCUCCCUAAUGUCAAUAUGCCUUGUCUAUUGCUGUUUGGUUAGGGAUUUUUGUCUGAUUUCACUGUAGAACCACCAGCCCUGUUCAAUAUGCCUUAGCUAGCCCUUUUGUUCCACCCCCCACACAUGCGGUGACCUCAUCUGGCUUAAAUGGUGCCUCUAGAGACCAAACCUCUCUCAUCAUCACUCAAUGUUUAGGUUUACCUCCACUGCACUUACAUCCUACAAUAUCCUUGUCUGUACAAUAUGCCUUGAAUAUAUUCUUCCACACCCAGAAAUCUGCUCCUUUAACUCUCGGUUCCCAACGCACUAGAUGACCCGUUCUUAUAGCCUUUAGCCGUACUCUUAUCCUACUCCUCCUCUGUUCCGAUGGUGAUGUAGAGGUUAACCCAGGCCCUGCAGCCCCCAGCAUCACUCCCAUUCCUCAGAUGCUCUCAUUUGUUGACUUCUGUAACCGUAAAAGCCUUGGUUUCAUGCAUGUUAACAGCCUCCUCCCUGAGUUUGUUUUAUUCACUGCUUUAGCAAACUCUGCCAACCCAGAUGUCCUAGCCAUGUCUGAAUCCUGUCUCAGGAAGGCCACCAAAUAUCCUGAAAUUUCCAUCCCUAACUAUAGCAUUUUCCAACAAGAUAGAACUGCCAAAGGGGCGGAGUUGCAAUUCACUGCAGAGAUAGCCUGCAAAGUUCUGUCAAACUAUCCAGGUCUGUGCCCAAACAAUUAGAGCUUCUACUUUUAAAAAUCCACCUUUCCAGAAACAAGUCUCUCACCAUUGCCAGUUGUUAUAGACCCCCUUCAGCCCCCAGCUGUGCCCUGGAGACACUAUAUGUGAAUUGAUCGCCCCCAUCUAUCAUCAGAGCUCACAAUGUUUGGUUACCUAACUGGGACAUGCUUAACACCCUGGCUGUCCUACAAUCUAAGCUAGAUGCCCUCAAUCUCAAACAAAUUCUAAACUCUAAAUCCGUAACCAUGGGCACCCUCUUAGAUAUCAUCCUGACCAACUUUCCCUCCAAAUACACCUCUGCUGUCUUACACCCCCCCGCUUCUCCUUCACCCAAAUCCAGACAGCUGAUGUUCUGAAAGAGCUGCAAAAUCUGGAUCCCUACAAAUCAGCCGGGCUAGACAAUCUGGACCCUCCCUUUCUAAAAUUAUCCACCGAAAUUGUUGCAUCCCCUAGUACUAGCCUGUUCAACCUCUUUCGUAUCGUCUGUGGUCCCCAAAGAUUGGAACGCUGCCAUGGUCAUCCCCCUCUUCAAAGGGGGUGACACUCUAGACCCAAACUGUUAUAGACCUAUAUUCAUCCUACCCUGUCUUUCUAAGGUCUUCGAAAGCCAAGUUAACAAACAGAUCACCCAACAUUUCGAAUCCCACCGUACCUUCUCCGCUAUGCAAUCUGGUUUAGGAGCUGGUCAUGGGUGCACCUCAGCCACGCUCAAGGUCCUAAACGACAUCAUAACAGCCAUCGAUAAGAGACAUUACUGUGCAGCCGUAUUCAUCGACCUGGCCAAGGCUUUCGACUCUGUCAAUCACAACAUUCUUAUUGGCAGACUCGACAGCCUUGGUUUUUCAAAUGAUUGCCCCGCCUGGUUUACCAACUACUUCUCUGAUAGAGUCCAGUGUGUCAAAUCGGAGGGCCUGUUGUCCGGAUCUCUGGCUGUCUCUAUGGGGGUGCCACAGGGUUCAAUCCUUGGGCCGACUCUCUUCUCUGUACACAUCAAUGAUGUUGCUCUUGCUGCUGGUGAGUCUCUGAUCCACCUCUACGCAGACGACACCAUUCUGUAUACUUCUGGCCCCUCUUUGGACACUGUGUUAACUAACCUCCAGACGAGCUUCAAUGCCAUACAACUCUCCUUCCGUGGCCUCCAACUGCUCUUAAACGCAGGGGAAACUAAAUGCAUGCUAUUCAACCGAUCACUGCCCGCACCUGCUCACCUGUCCAGCAUCGUUACUCUGGACGGCUCUGACUUAGAAUACGUGGACAACUACAAAUACCUAGGUGUCUAGUUAGACUGUAAACUCUCCUUCCAGACUCACAUUAAGCAUCUCUAAUCCAAAAUUAAAUCUAGAAUUGGCUUCCUAUAUCGCAACAAAGCAUCCUUCACUCAUGCUGCCAAACAUACCCUCAUAAAACUGACCAUCCUACCGAUCCUCGACUUCGGUGAUGUCAUCUAUAAAAUAGCCUCCAACACUCUACUCAACAAACUGGAUGCAGUCUAUCACAGUGCCAUCUGUUUUGUCACCAAAGCCCCAUACAAUACCCACCAUUGCGACCUGUACGCUGUCGUUGGUUGGCCCUUGCUUCAUACGCGUCGCCAAACCCACUGGCUACAGGUUAUCUACAAGUCUCUGCUAGGUAAAGCCCCGCCUUAUCUCAGCUCACUGGACACCAUAGCAGCACCCACUCGUAGCACGUGCUCCAGCAGGUAUAUCUCACUGGUCACCCCCAAAGCCAAUUCCUCCUUUGGUCAUCUUUCCUUCCAGUUCUCUGCUGCCAAUGACUGGAACGAACUGCAAAUAUCUCUGAAGCUGGAGACUCAUAUCUCCCUCACUAGCUUUAAGCACCAGCUGUCAGAGCAGCUCACAGAUCACUGCACCUGAACAUAGCCCAUCUGUAAACAGCCCAACCAUCUACCUACCUCAUCCCCAUACAGUAUUAAUUUAUUUAUCUUGCUCCUUUGCACCCCAGUAUCUCUACUUGCACAUUCAUCUUCUGCACAUCUACAAUUUCAGUGUUUAAUUGCUAUAUUGUAAUUACUUCGCCACCAUGGCCUAUUUAUUGCCUUAACUCCCUUAUCUUACCUCAUUUGCACUUACUGUAUAUAGACAGUGAGUUCUACUGUAUUAUUGACUAUGUUUAGUUUAUUCCAUGUGUAACUCUGUGUUGUUGUAUGUGUCAAAUUGCUAUGCUUUAUCUUGGCCAGGUCGCAGUUGCAAAUGAGAACUUGUUCUCAACUAGCCUACCUGGUUAAAUAAAGGUUAAAUAAAAAAUAAAAUAAAGUACAUCUUUA